GGAUGAACGCUAGCGGGAGGCUUAAUACAUGCAAGUCGAGCGGCAAGGUCUUCGGACCCUAGAGCGGCGCACGGGUGAGUAACGCGUACGCAAUCUGCCCUUCAGUGAGGAAUAGCCCUGGGAAACUGGGAUUAAUACCUCAUAAUAUUAUUUAUUCGCAUGAAUAGAUAAUUAAAGUUCUGGCGCUGAAGGAUGAGCGUGCGUCUGAUUAGCUUGUUGGUAGGGUAACGGCCUACCAAGGCUACGAUCAGUAUGGGGCGUGAGAGCGUGACCCCCCACACGGGUACUGAGACACGGACCCGACUCCUACGGGAGGCAGCAGUAAGGAAUAUUGGGCAAUGGAGGCAACUCUGACCCAGCCAUCCCGCGUGAAGGAUUAAGGCCCUAUGGGUUGUAAACUUCUUUUGUUUGGGAAGAAAUCAAGACAUUUAUGUGCUGUUGACGGUACCUUACGAAUAAGCACCGGCUAACUCCGUGCCAGCAGCCGCGGUAAUACGGAGGGUGCAAGCGUUAUCCGGAAUCACUGGGUUUAAAGGGUGCGUA
rnacentral:rRNA from 1 species